UACGUAGGUCCCGAGCGUUAUCCGGAUUUAUUGGGCGUAAAGCGAGCGCAGGCGGUUAGAUAAGUCUGAAGUUAAAGGCUGUGGCUUAACCAUAGUACGCUUUGGAAACUGUUUAACUUGAGUGCAGAAGGGGAGAGUGGAAUUCCAUGUGUAGCGGUGAAACGCGUAGAUAUAUGGAGGAACACCGGUGGCGAAAGCGGCUCUCUGGUCUGUAACUGACGCUGAGGCUCGAAAGCGUGGGGAGCAAACAGGAUUAGAUAC
rnacentral:rRNA from 1 species